rnacentral:rRNA from 1 species
UACAGAGGUCCCAAGCGUUGUUCGGAAUUACUGGGCGUAAAGGGUCUGUAGGUGGCUUGCUAAGUCAGACGUGAAAUCCCUCAGCUUAACUGGGGAACUGCGUCUGAUACUGGCAAGCUUGAGUGCAGGAGAGGAACGCGGAAUUCCAGGUGUAGCGGUGAAAUGCGUAGAUAUCUGGAGGAACACCGGUGGCGAAGGCGGCGUUCUGGACUGCAACUGACACUGAGAGACGAAAGCCAGGGGAGCAAACGGG